rnacentral:rRNA from 1 species
UACAGAGGUCUCAAGCGUUGUUCGGAUUCAUUGGGCGUAAAGGGUGCGUAGGCGGCGCGGUAAGUCGGGUGUGAAAUCUCGGGGCUUAACUCCGAAACUGCAUUCGAUACUGCCGUGCUUGAGGACUGGAGAGGAGACUGGAAUUUACGGUGUAGCGGUGAAAUGCGUAGAUAUCGUAAGGAAGACCAGUGGCGAAGGCGGGUCUCUGGACAGUUCCUGACGCUGAGGCACGAAAGGCCAGGGGAGCAAACGGG